UUUAGAAGUAAAAUUUAAACUCUGUAGCCCAAUUCUCUUUCUAUUGCGAUGGAAUUGCUGAACUUUAACCUAAAAAUGAUACAGUUAAAUCGAUAUAUACCCGAGAAGCUACGCUAAAGAUACUGCCUAAACUAUUUGAGAUGGUACAAAACAUAUACCACACCAAUACGUUUUCUUUACACGUAGAUCAAACACGUUGGAGGCAAAAUCGGAAAAUCAAAAAAUUCCGUUGAAAAAGGUUUAAAGUUUGGCUUCAAAACCCUGACCUAUUGCAACAACGCCGGAUGCUUUACAAUAGAUAAGACUGAUGACGUCACCCUAAUGGUGCGAAUUAGAACUUCUAGAGGCAAUAUUCCUGUUUGUGCUGCCACAUUUCAACAUAUACCAGAUAACUGGUGCAGACUGUCGGGUAUUUCAAACAAAUUUAUCGCCGUAGAACUAUUAGUUGAAAAGCGGGGAGGUCGUGUACCGAGUCAGAUUGAUAAGGAUAUUUCUGACGCAAUAAAGACACGCAUAAGCAGCUACAAAUGCAGAGAAAAUCACUAUUCGCGUGAAAAAUGCAGAAGAACAUACAUUUAAACAUACGUUAAACAUAGUUAAACAUACAGAAAAUGUAGCAAAUAUUUUGUGAUACAACAAACUUUAAAUGUUCUUUGGCUAAAUACAAGAAGAUUUUUUAUCAAAAUUUUAACCUUGGGUUUGGAAAUCCACAGUCAGAUACAUGUUUCAUUUGUAAGGAGUUUCUGGUAAAUAUAAAAAAUAUCAAGAUGUUGGAAAAACGUAAUGAACUGCUCACCAAGUACAGACUUCAUAGGAUGAGAGCAGAGGCCUUUUUCA